rnacentral:rRNA from 1 species
AGCCCUAAUACAUGCAAGUCGAGCGGACAGAAGGGAGCUUGCUCCCUGAUGUUAGCGGCGGACGGGUGAGUAACACGUGGGUAACCUGCCUGUAAGACUGGGAUAACUCCGGGAAACCGGAGCUAAUACCGGAUGGUUCCUUGAACCGCAUGGUUCAAGGAUGAAAGACGGUUUCGGCUGUCACUUACAGAUGGACCCGCGGCGCAUUAGCUAGUUGGUGAGGUAACGGCUCACCAAGGCGACGAUGCGUAGCCGACCUGAGAGGGUGAUCGGCCACACUGGGACUGAGACACGGCCCAGACUCCUACGGGAGGCAGCAGUAGGGAAUCUUCCGCAAUGGACGAAAGUCUGACGGAGCAACGCCGCGUGAGUGAUGAAGGUUUUCGGAUCGUAAAGCUCUGUUGUUAGGGAAGAACAAGUGCCGUACUAACUGCUUGCCCCUUGGCGGUACCUAACCCGAAAGCCCCGGCUAACUACCUGGCCACCACCCCGGUAAUACCUAAGUGGCAAGCGUUGGCCGGAAUUAAUGGGCGUAAAGGGCUCCCAAGGGGUUUCCUAAAUCUGAAGGGGAAGCCCCCGGCUCCACCGGGGAAGGUCCUUGGAAACUGGGAAACUUGGAUGGCAAAGAAGAAAAUGGAAUUCCCCCUGGAACGGUGAAAUGGCUAAAGAUGUGGAAGAACCACCGUGGCGAAAGGCAAUCCCUGGUCUGUAACUGAACCUGAAGAACCAAAGCGUGGGGAACGAACCAGAAUAAAUACCCUGGUAGUCCACGCCGGAAACCAUGAAUGCUAAAUGUUAAGGGGGUUCCCCCCCUUUAUUGUGGCGCUAACGCAAUAAGCCAUCCGCCCUGGGAGACCGGCCCCAAGACUUGAAAUCUAAAGGAUUUGACGGGGGCCCGACCAGCGGUGGACCAUGGGGUUUAAUUCCAAUACUCCGAAAACCUUAC